rnacentral:snRNA from 1 species
GUGCUUAUUUCAGCAGCACAUACACUAAAACUAGAAAAACACGGAGAAGAUUAGCAUGGUCCCUGUGCAAAGAUGACACAAAAUUUCAUGAAGAGUCCGUAUUUUUA